AUCGCUUCUCGGCCUUUUGGCUAAGAUCAAGUGUAGUAUCUGUUCUUAUCAGUUUAAUAUCUGAUACGCCCCCUAUCUGGGGGCCAUAUAUUAAAUGGAUUUUUAGAACAGGGAGAUGGAAGAAGAGCUUGCUCUGUCCACUCCACGCAUUGACCUGGUAUUGCAGUACCUCCAGGACCGGUGCACCAGAA
ensembl:snRNA U2 U2 spliceosomal RNA